rnacentral:rRNA from 1 species
GGUAGGCGGCGGCGGUGCGGAAUGGAGAGGAGCCGGGACAGGAGGCGGAGGUGGAGGGGCGGAGGUUCGCUACUGCUGCCGGGCUCUAGGUACCACUGCCGCCGACGUCACCGGGCUACCUUCGCCGCCGGUAGGGAUCGGCAACGGCGCACGAAGACGAUGAGUGCAACCGGUACCUAGACGUCGUCCCCCGAGGGAGGAGGCAAAGGGUCUCGGGCGUCGACUAAGCGGUAGGCCUCUAAGCCUCGUCGUUCGUGGCCUGCUCCUCUCCUGCUCCUGACAUUGGACGACCUCCGGGCUCGCGCUGGAGCAGUUGCCGCUGCUGCGGGGCGUGUUCUAGUCAUCCUCGAGAGACGGAGAGGUUAAGGUACCUGCCGCUGCUGGCCCUGGGGUGCGAGUUUGGGCUGCUCGAACUUGCCGCUCCAGUAGGCACGGCUGGUAGUACUAAGGGGUGUCUUGUUAUUCCAACUGAGAGAGCAAGACAAAAAGAAAAGAAGGUUAACGGACGACGAGAAGAGAUCGUAUCAAGAGGUCCCCGAGUGGUUAAAAGAACCUGACUUGGACUACGUCUUUUGCACAAGUGAAACAAAGGACUAUGAGCGUUCGAUGUCGUUCAAUGUCGGUGGCUGUCUGAUCGUGACGAUCUAUAAAGGAAAAAGAAGAGAGUGGCACGCUCGUAAUCGCCACAUCUGAAACACAAUUUAUUGAUGAGGGAGGCAUUUGAUUAUAUUCUCGCAAAUCUUAUGAUUUUAUCACUAGAUUUGCGAGAAUAUAAUCAAAUGUCUCCUUCAUGAUCAAUCUGUUCGACACACCACCAAGUGCAAAUCAAGGAUUAAUCCGGUACGGUCAUUACUUAUUUCGUAUAAUCACAAGAAGAGGAAAGAUAACAAUAAUCAGACCAUAUAGAGAUAUAAAAAUAUAACAGAAAUGAGGGACCGCAUCAACGUUUGAUUAUUAAUUGCUACACGUCUUGAACAGAUUCAAUCUACAUGAGUCACCGCCUCGAUGUUGUUUAUUCAACCCGCCCGGUUAAAAAAAGGAGAUUUGGUAUGUCAAUUCAUCCGUACUCAAUCACUUUAAAGUCCAACGGACAUAUCCCUUUGACCAUUGUCCUACUACAACAGUUCAUUUUAAACCUGUUUAUUUACUUUAAAGAACACGCGAUCGACGGACGACCAAGAUACCAGAACACGAGCAGCGGACCCAUCAAGUAGUCGCCGAUCGGCGACCGUCGGCGGUAUACCGGUACGGGCAACACCGUAUCCCUACCCAGUGGCAUCCCCAACGAUGUACGCCGCGGGCAGACGGACCGAUAACCUGGCGAGGUAGAGACUCACCGAACGAGUCACGACUUAACCCCGUCUCUCGAGUAUCGACCUACGCUCCCUCUGUACGAUAACCUAAUUCGACAAUGUACAUGUUUUCUCAAAAUAAACAGACACCUCGACCCACCCAGUACCGGAACAAAAAGGGAGUGCUUCGAGGCGGUCACCUAGAUGAGUAGAAACAACAACAAUCCUAGUUUAUAGUUACGAUCAACUCAGUAUGAUGCAGGUAGAACUUUAUAUUCAGUAAAAAUAUCCGAUUUGACCGGAUGUUUUUACAGAAUAUAAAACUCUGCCUCAAUCAUGAACAAUCAAGACUGGUACGGAUCGAAUUCCUGAGUAACCAUAAGAACUAUUCUUUUAGGACGUAUACAAGCAUGUACAAGGAUAGACUUAAUUAUAACCUACAAAGAACCACACACGUACACUGUCAGUUCCGUGUAAAAGUGUUAUAUACAACCAUAUACCACAACACUUUGAAGAUACUAACUUGUAUGGUGCCGUUCUAAGUCUUCAUUGAAAGAAGGUAGAUGUUUUCAACUCUCCGUCUCCCUCUCCGUGUGUCAAAAUGGUGACUUAUUCGAUGAGGGACUCGAUCUCCCUCCCCGUGUUCUAAAUGGUGACUUAUUCGACAAGGUAAGAUGUAAUAACUCCGAGAUUUUACUUUAUUACUUUACCACAUUGUUAGACAUCGAAAUCUCUAAAUCUCCGUGUGUAUCUAUUACUUUAUCACAUUGUUAGACGUCCAAACUUUUCAAAUCACAAGAAUAAGCUAGAACCAAACGUCGUUUAUUAUUAUACAGUAACGUGAAACCCGAGUUUACUUUAAGAACAUACAACAGUUAAGAGACAGUUUUCAACAAAAUUGUCACACGAUUCAAAACAGUCUACGCAACGGAUCCAGAUAGAGUACCUGUGGGUCUAAAACAUACGUUAAAAGAGUUGUGGGUCUAACCUCGGAUUCCAACCUGUAAAACUACCCUGACGCCUAGAAGCCUACAACCACGACUCUAACUACACCGGGAUCGAUGUACAUACUAACGCAUGGCCCGAUGAACCACGACGGGUAGUGUUAAACGUGACUGUACUAUUGAAGGUAGUUCUCCCGGCCGACGUUCUUGAACUUAUCGUUGAAGUUAUCAAAUUUACAAGACAAACACACUUGACCUAACAUGACAAAAAAUUGAAAGGGUUCACUAUAUACAACAUUUGAUAGUAAAGUACCUCCUAAAACAUUCGACGAUACAACAUCUAUGAACACCCACUGACGUAAAACUAAGUAUACACGUACACUCUGUCAAAACUUUAUGUACAGACGGUUUCAACCGUAAUUCUACACACAUUAUGUAAUACGAAUUUUUAUAUCAACCAC